GAUGAACGCUGGCGGCGUGCCUAAUACAUGCAAGUCGAGCGAACGGAUGAGAAGCUUGCUUCUCUGAUGUUAGCGGCGGACGGGUGAGUAACACGUGGAUAACCUACCUAUAAGACUGGGAUAACUUCGGGAAACCGGAGCUAAUACCGGAUAAUAUUUUGAACCGCAUGGUUCAAAAGUGAAAGACGGUCUUGCUGUCACUUAUAGAUGGAUCCGCGCUGCAUUAGCUAGUUGGUAAGGUAACGGCUUACCAAGGCAACGAUGCAUAGCCUACCUGAGAGGGUGAUCGGCCACACUGGAACUGAGACACGGUCCAGACUCCUACGGGAGGCAGCAGUAGGGAAUCUUCCGCAAUGGGCGAAAGCCUGACGGAGCAACGCCGCGUGAGUGAUGAAGGUCUUCGGAUCGUAAAACUCUGUUAUUAGGGAAGAACAUAUGUGUAAGUAACUGUGCACAUCUUGACGGUACCUAAUCAGAAAGCCACGGCUAACUACGUG
rnacentral:rRNA from 1 species